rnacentral:tRNA from 1 species
GAGGGUACAGCUCAGUGGUAGAGUGUAUACCUAGUAUGCACGAGGUCCUGGGUUCAAUCCCCAGUACUGCCA